UACGAAGGGGGCUAGCGUUGCUCGGAAUCACUGGGCGUAAAGGGUGCGUAGGCGGGUCUUUAAGUCAGGGGUGAAAUCCUGGAACUCAACUCCAGAACUGCCUUUGAUACUGAGGAUCUUGAGUUCGGGAGAGGUGAGUGGAACUGCGAGUGUAGAGGUGAAAUUCGUAGAUAUUCGCAAGAACACCAGUGGCGAAGGCGGCUCACUGGCUCGGUACUGACGCUGAGGUGCGAAAGCGUGGGGAGCAAACAGG
rnacentral:rRNA from 1 species